UGCGAGCGGCGGACGGGUGAGUAAUGCAUAGGAAUCUGCCCGGUAGUGGGGGAUAACCUGGGGAAACCCAGGCUAAUACCGCAUACGUCCUACGGGAGAACCAGCAGGGGAACUUCGGACCUUGCGCUAUCGGAUGAGCCCCUUUGUCGGAUUUAAGAUGUUGGUGAGGUUAUGGCUCACCAAGGCGACGAUCCGUAGCCGGUCUGAGAGGAUGAUCCCAGCCACAUCGGGACUGAGACACGGCCCGAACUCCUACGGGAGGCAGAGUGGGGAAUAUUGGAACAAUUAGGGCGAAAGCCUGAUCCAGCCAUGCCGCGUGUGUGAAGAAGGCUUUCGGGUUGUAAAGGCACUUUCAGUGAGGAAGAAAGCCUUGGGGCUAAAAUAAAUUGCG
rnacentral:rRNA from 1 species